rnacentral:rRNA from 1 species
UACGUAGGGUGCAAGCGUUAUCCGGAAUUAUUGGGCGUAAAGAGCUCGUAGGCGGUUUGUCGCGUCUGCUGUGAAAACUGGGGGCUCAACCCCCAGCCUGCAGUGGGUACGGGCAGACUAGAGUGCGGUAGGGGAGAUUGGAAUUCCUGGUGUAGCGAUGGAAUGCGCAGAUAUCAGGAGGAACACCGAUGGCGAAGGCAGAUCUCUGGGCCGUAACUGACGCUGAGGAGCGAAAGCAUGGGGAGCGAACAGG